AUGUAUCAUUGCCCAGGUAAUUGUCAAUGGUGGAUGCUGGGCACAUCAGUGUUCAUCAUAUCACUGUUUCCUUUAUUUCAGGCAGAGAUAUACAUGCUUUGGGGCCAAUGCUGUGACAGGGAACCUCUUGCAGCUAUGACUUCAACUCCAGCACAGAUGUUCCUGACAAAGACGUAUCUAAAGCACAUCCUGUAAUACAACAUAUGGGAACAGAAGUACAAUAAAGAUAGAAGAUAAGCACCAAGAGGGAGUGGCUGAGGGAUAAGGAAAAUGGAGUGGUCACUUGCAAAAUGAAGGCAGAAGUUGGAGUUGAGGGGGAGCAAGGAGAAAGAUUUUUCUAUAAGAGCCACCCCACACAGUGGCAGGGAGCAUGAUCUUGAUGGCAUAUUUGAGGAAUUAUGCAUUCCGUCUCCUUUUUUCACACUAAACUUUCACCUGGCCUUGUGAUCCCAUUAUUUUCGCUGGCAUUGCUCUAGUCCCAGGGUGAUCCAAGGCCUUGUAAGUUCAUAGAGUGCUAUUACAAUUGACAGUAUGGAUUCCGGAGUUGAGCUAGGAUGAGCUCUGGACUCGGCCUCACCAAUUGAUAUCUACCCAACUUUAGGAGAGUUGUUUGUUCUCUAUGAGUUUUGGUUUCCUCAUCUGUAAGAUAAUGAUAAUGAAAGAGCCUAAUAUAUGUAUGUGUGUAUAUAUUAAUUGGCUUUGUGUGUAAAUGUGUUUCCUUUGUGUCACUUUUGAAACACAUACUGACUUUUUUUUUUUAAUUGUUUGUGAGUGCUGAAUUAGCCCAUUAUUUAUUUAUUCAAUAGGUUCAAUUAUUGGAGUGGGGCUUUAUAGAUGACACAAUGGCUGCAACAUAAGCAAUGAAUAUUGGGGACACCUACUUUCCUCCUUUCUUCACUCAGACCUCUGAAAAAUGUUGUAUCUUAAGUAGAUUGGUCUCUUACAGUGAGUUACAGGGAGCACAUUUUUAUAACAUUUCUGGCUUCCACUUUGAAGUCCCCUGAAUCCCCAUUUUGUGGACCUCCCAGUGGUAAUGGUGGACUCUAAGAGCUGAGGGGCUCAGUCCUGUAGCCACAAAACCUGUAUCAGAAUAGAACUGCUCCAGAGAGAGGCUUAGUGCAGCCUUGACUUCAAGAUCAAGAAUUGUCUGCUUGAGAAGCAAAUGGCUCCACAUGGAGUUCUAGGAAUUGUACUGACUCCUUUCAAUAAAACAGAAGUGUGUGUGUGUGUGUGUGUGUGUGUGUGUGUGCUUCUAGUUUGUACAUGUUUAUGUGGUGUGUGUGUGUGUGUGUGUGUGUGUGUGUGUGUUAAGAUCUGGCCAGCUUCUUUUCAGAAAAGACAAGAAAUACCAUAGUUUGGUUCUCAAUAAAAAUAACAAAACGUAUAUUAAUGUAUGACUUUGGGCUUAAAAAUUAAGUAUUUCUUAAAGACUUACUUGGUGCCUGGCAGCAUAGCCUGCUCCUGACAGACCUUACGACCACAAGAAGAGAUAGAUGUGCCAGAUGAGUACAUAUUACAUAGCCAAACAUCAUUCAUGGAGGAGAGCCCUAAAAACAACUUUAUUUUUGUCCCCACUUUCCAUUUUGAAUCUGUUCAAUGAGGAAACUUUUUCUCUACCGUUG
rnacentral:lncRNA from 1 species